rnacentral:ncRNA from 1 species
AUAAAUUCUUUGAUGAGAAUAUGACGGCUUUUGGGCGACUUCAGAGAGCAUCCGGUUGGUGAAAGGAUGUGUCAAGCAGAGUUUUGUUACCACCUCGGAGUGCCUUUAAUACAGGUCGGGAGCUCCCGUUACAGAGCAUUGAGAGGCGAUUGUUCAAUCGCAAUUCAGGUGGAACCGUGGAUUUUAUUCACCCUGUUU